CCAAUAGCGUAUAUUAAAGUUGUUGCAGUUAAAAAGCUCGUAGUUGAAUUUCGGGGUCAGUAGGCUGGUCGUGCCACGGGUAUGUACUGGUCUUACUGAUUCCUCCUUCCUGAUGAACCGUAAUGCCAUUAAUUUGGUGUUGCGGGGAAUCUGGACUGUUACUUUGAAAAAAUUAGAGUGUUUAAAGCAGGCUAACGCUUGAAUACAUUAGCAUGGAAUAAUGAAAUAGGACGAUCGAUCCUAUUUUGUUGGUUUCUAGGAUUGACGUAAUGAUUAAUAGGGAUAGUUGGGGGCAUUAGUAUUCAAUUGUCAGAGGUGAAAUUCUUGGAUUUAUUGAAGACUAACUACUGCGAAAGCAUUUGCCAAGGAUGUUUUCAUUAAUCAAGAACGAAAGUUAGGGGAUCGAAGACGAUCAGAUACCGUCGUAGUCUUAACCAUAAACUAUGCCGACUAGGGAUCGGAUGAUGUUAAUUUUUUAAUGACUCAUUCGGCGCCUUACG
rnacentral:rRNA from 1 species